UACGGAGGAUGCAAGCGUUAUCCGGAAUGAUUGGGCGUAAAGCGUCCGCAGGUGGCAAUGUAAGUCUGCUGUCAAAGCGUCUGGCUCAACCAGAUAAAGGCAGUGGAAACUACAUAGCUAGAGUAAGGUAGGGGUAGAGGGAAUUCCUGGUGUAGCGGUGAAAUGCGUAGAGAUCAGGAAGAACACCGGUGGCGAAAGCGCUCUGCUGGACCUUAACUGACACUGAGAGACGAAAGCUAGGGGAGCGAAUGGG
rnacentral:rRNA from 1 species